rnacentral:misc_RNA from 1 species
AAGUCGUAACAAGGUAACCGUAGGUGAACCUGCGGUUGGAUCAUUACUGAUACCUCUCGAUAUGUGUUGAUACCGUAAGGAGUCCGCUAUCGAGAUUUCACCCCUGUGCACUAAACUGUUUUUUGGGUCAUGCAGGUUUCUGCCGUGGCAGUACCGGUGGCCCAGUUAGUCUAAAGACCUUAUCAAUUGUCUGAUAUACUCUAUGAAAAUAGAAACAACUUUUGACAACGGAUCUCUUGGCUCUC